AGUCAAAGUUUGACUCUGGCUGAUUAUUUUCUUUUUGAUAUAAGAUGCAUGUAAAUUUAAGUAUGACAAUAUUUACUGUUUUCUAAAUGAGUGUAGAUAAAAAUUAAUAAAUUUUAUUGAUAACUAUUAAAUUCUCAGCGCGUAGUAUUAGGUUAUUAGUUAAAGCUAGAACUAGAAAAUCAUAUAAAGCCUGGCUAAAAUUGUGCCAGCCGCCGCGGUUAUACUGUGAGGCUAAGAAAAUAAGGUUUGGUUAAAUUAAGUUAUUAUGCUAUUUGUUUUGGUAAAAACAAGAUAUUAGGUGUAAGUGAAAUGAAUAAUUAAAAUAUUGUUUUUAUUAUAAAAUAAUGAAUAAGAGGCUUGUGAGUUUGAGAUAUAAACCAGGAUUAGAUACCCUGCUAUACUUGAAUUAAAAAUUAUCACCUGGGUAGUAUAUAGUUAUUUUCUUGAAACCCAAAGAGUUUGGCGGUAUCUCAGCCUAGUUAGAGGAGCUUGUUCCGUAAUCGAUAAUCCGCGAAGAAUUUUACGUGCUUUUGCAAACAGUUUAUAUACCGUCGUUGUCAGAUAAUGUUAAAAGAUAAAUAAUUAUCUAAGAAUAAUAAGAUAUAAUAUAUCAGAUCAAGGUGUAACUUAUGGGUACGGAGUGAAUGAGCUACAAUUUAUAUUCUAUAAAGUACGAAAUUUAACUUUAAAUUAGUUAUUAGAAGGUGGAUUUAAUAGUAAUUGCAUUUUAGUAGGUUGUAAUGAUAAAAGCUCUGAGAUAUGUACACAUCGCCCGUCGCUCUCACUACAAAGUGAGAUAAGUCGUAACAUAGUAGGGGUACUGGAAAGUGUUCCUAGAAUG
rnacentral:ncRNA from 2 species